rnacentral:snoRNA from 1 species
CCGCACAUAAAUACGGAGAAUUUUGAUGUCAAAAUUUUCUAGUCGUAGUGUGCAAUAGAAACCGUUCUACUGCCACACGGGUACUGGCCAUAAGCUGUAUCGGUUCCAAAGUUGUUCGAACAAUU